rnacentral:rRNA from 1 species
CCUACGGGGGGCUGCAGUGGGGAAUAUUGGACAAUGGGCGAAAGCCUGAUCCAGCCAUGCCGCGUGUGUGAAGAAGGCCUUCGGGUUGUAAAGCACUUUCAGUGGGGAAGAAAGCCUUGGGGCUAAUACCCUCGAGGAAGGACAUCACCCACAGAAGAAGCACCGGCUAACUCCGUGCCAGCAGCCGCGGUAAUACGGAGGGUGCGAGCGUUAAUCGGAAUUACUGGGCGUAAAGCGCGCGUAGGCGGUCUUAUAAGCCGGUUGUGAAAGCCCCGGGCUCAACCUGGGAACGGCAUCCGGAACUGUCAGGCUAGAGUGCAGGAGAGGAAGGUAGAAUUCCCGGUGUAGCGGUGAAAUGCGUAGAGAUCGGGAGGAAUACCAGUGGCGAAGGCGGCCUUCUGGACUGACACUGACGCUGAGGUGCGAAAGCGUGGGUAGCAAACAGGAUUAGAUACCCUAGUAGUC